ACAGGUGGUGCAUGGUUGUCGUCAGCUCGUGUCGUGAGAUGUUGGGUUAAGUCCCGCAACGAGCGCAACCCUUGAUUUUAGUUGCCAGCAUUUAGUUGGGCACUCUAAAGUGACUGCCGGUGCAAGCCGGAGGAAGGUGGGGAUGACGUCAAAUCAUCAUGCCCCUUAUGACCUGGGCUACACACGUGCUACAAUGGAUAGUACAAAGGGUCGCGAAGCCGCGAGGUGGAGCUAAUCCCAUAAAACUAUUCUCAGUUCGGAUUGUAGGCUGCAACUCGCCUACAUGAAGCCGGAAUCGCUAGUAAUCGUGGAUCAGCAUGCCACGGUGAAUACGUUCCCGGGCCUUGUACACACCG
rnacentral:rRNA from 1 species